rnacentral:rRNA from 1 species
GACGAACGCUGGCGGCGUGCUUAACACAUGCAAGUCGAACGGACAGACAGAGAGCUUGCUCUCUAGAAGUUAGUGGCGAACGGGUGAGUAACGCGUAAUCAACCUGCCCUUCAGAGGGGGAUAACAACGGGAAACCGUUGCUAAUACCGCGUACGAUUCACGAGCGGCAUCGCUUGUGAAUGAAAGGUGGCCUCUAUUUAUAAGCUAUCGCUGAAGGAGGGGAUUGCGUCUGAUUAGCUAGUUGGAGGGGUGACGGCCCACCAAGGCAAUGAUCAGUAGCCGGUCUGAGAGGAUGAACGGCCACAUUGGGACUGAGACACGGCCCAAACUCCUACGGGAGGCAGCAGUGGGGAAUCUUCCGCCUAUGGACGAAAGUCUGACGGAGCAACGCCGCGUGAGUGAUGAAGGUCUUCGGAUUGUAAAGCUCUGUUAAUCGGGACGAAAGAGUUUCUGUGUAAAUAAUGCAGAAAAAGUGACGGUACCGGAAUAGAAGCC